AUUGAGCUUUUUUUACAUAAAUAAUCAUUUUAUAAAUUUUACGUAUUUGCCAUCAUUUCCCACUGAGAUUUUUUAACUUGAGCACCAUUUCCGUAUGUUAGAUAAGACAGCUGUUGUAGUUUUCACAGUCUUCAUACUUCCUUAGUAAAGGAAUUAAUGGGUAUAAUUUAAAUAUUAAAACAGAAAAUGUUACCUACAUAAAAGACUAUGAACAAAGAAGUUCUGUGAACCAGAGCGCAACAUAUUUUACCUUCAAGGGAAUUCUAUAUAAGGAAUCACCUGUGGGAACUUAACGAUUUCAGGAUCCUAGACCAGUGUCAUUAUGGAAUGAAGUAAUGGAGGUAGCAGACUGGGUGAAUUUUUGUGUUAGCGGGCAGAUCAAGGAUCGAAAACGCGUUGGUACGCUGCGCGAUGAGCGACCACGCAUCUACUUCAGUAUUGUCAGUUGUUAAACAUAAAAUAUAAACGAAAUCGCCUGGCAUAUGCAUCAAAUCGGAUGCGCACUGCUUUAGUGCGCAACGUCCGAAUGAACAGUACUUGGUAGCUCUCAUACGGAUCGCGAAACAUUUCUUAUAAUACCUAGUAGAUGUCACGGCGACAAUUUAAAAUCGUUGAAUGCGAGUGGCCAGUUUCGGACGUCACAUUGUCGAUUUUGAUUUGUUCUUCUUGGUUCUCCCAAAUUUAAUGUCAAAGAUCUCUGCAAGUAGCAAACGACGAUGAUUCAUUCAACUUGCAACAUUCGAGCUAUUUGAACCUUGCGAUACAAUUUUAGUUUAAAUGAUUUUUUGUUAUUUGAAUGUUCGGAAAUGAAGAGUAGUGUUUUGAAAAUGGGAAUGGACUAGAAUAAUAAAAACUGCAAAUAGAUCAUUAUAACAAGUACCGGGAAAGUUAUAAACAAAGCUUGCACGAUGUAAACCAAAAGCACUUAAAAAAAAUAUAGUCUAACAUCAAAUCAUG